GACGAACGCUGGCGGCGUGCUUAACACAUGCAAGUCGAACGGAAAGGCCCUGCUUUUGUGGGGUGCUCGAGUGGCGAACGGGUGAGUAACACGUGAGUAACCUGCCCUUGACUUUGGGAUAACUUCAGGAAACUGGGGCUAAUACCGGAUAGGAGCUCCUGCUGCAUGGUGGGGGUUGGAAAGUUUCGGCGGUUGGGGAUGGACUCGCGGCUUAUCAGCUUGUUGGUGGGGUAGUGGCUUACCAAGGCUUUGACGGGUAGCCGGCCUGAGAGGGUGACCGGCCACAUGGGGACUGAGGUACGGCCCAGACUCCUACGGGAGGCAGCAGUGGGGAAUAUUGCACAAUGGGCGGAAGCCUAAUGCAGCAACGCCGCGUGCGGGAUGACGGCCUUCGGGUUGUAAACCGCUUUCGCCUGUGACGAAGCGUGAGUGACGGUAAUGUGUAAAGAAGCACCGGCUAACUACGUG
rnacentral:rRNA from 1 species